GACGUAGGGGGCGAGCGUUGUCCGGAAUUAUUGGGCGUAAAGAGCUCGUAGGCGGUUUGUCGCGUCUGCUGUGAAAACUCGGGGCUUAACUCCGGGCCUGCAGUGGGUACGGGCAGACUAGAGUGCGGUAGGGGAGACUGGAAUUCCUGGUGUAGCGGUGAAAUGCGCAGAUAUCAGGAGGAACACCGGUGGCGAAGGCGGGUCUCUGGGCCGAUACUGACGCUGAGGAGCGAAAGCGUGGGGAGCAAACAGG
rnacentral:rRNA from 1 species